rnacentral:lncRNA from 1 species
CAGGGUAGUCCACCGCAAGGAGGGAUAGCACUGUGUUUACUGUGAGGAUCGGAGGCUCCUUCAGAGCGUCCGCCGUCGUCACGAACAUGUCCACUGCUGGUAGUUCUGAUUCCGUCUUCAACCUUAAUUGCCAACAAUAUAAUUUCUACAAAUCAAUAUCAUUCACUAAAUCAUAGGCAAGUAGGGUUGUUUUUUCUUGAUUGCGAUAUGGUUUCAAGGUGUGUUUAUCUCACUCACAGUUUACUAUUACCUUUUUAGGAGCUUGUUUGGGUAUGUUCGAUACUGGACCAUGCUCCACCUUUGGUUCAUUGAUAAAAUCCACAGACAAGCAAAGCAAGUCUCACAGGCAAGUGCGAGG